rnacentral:sRNA from 1 species
CGUCUUCGAUCUGUUGCGGGCAGAUGAAAUGGAUGUGGCUGUCAAACCCACCUGCGGUCAGAAUGCGCCCCUCGCCCGCGAUCACUUCGGUUCCCGGCCCGAUGAUGAUGUUCACACCCGGUUGCGUGUCGGGGUUGCCUGCCUUGCCGAUCUUGGCGAUACGCCCGUCUUUCAGCCCCACAUCGGCUUUGUAGAUGCCGGUAUGGUCGACGAUCAGCGCAUUGGUGAUGACCGUAUCAACGGCCCCGCCUGCGCGGGUCACCUGCGAUUGGCCCAUGCCGUCGCG